CCUACGGGAGGCAGCAGUGAGGAAUAUUGGUCAAUGGACGGAAGUCUGAACCAGCCAUGCCGCGUGCAGGAAGACGGCUCUAUGAGUUGUAAACUGCUUUUGUACAAGGGUAAACCUGAAUACGUGUAUUCAGCUGAAAGUACUGUACGAAUAAGGCUCGGCUAACUCCGUGCCAGCAGCCGCGGUAAUACGGAGGAUCCAAGCGUUAUCCGGAUUUAUUGGGUUUAAAGGGUGCGUAGGCGGUUGUAUAAGUUGGAGGUGAAAUGUUCGAGCUUAACGCGGGAACGGCCUCUAAUACUGUAGAUCUAGAGAGUAGAUGCGGUAGGCGGAAUGUAGGGUGUAGCGGGGAAAUGCUUAGAGAUCAUACAGAACACCGAUUGCGAAGGCAGCUUACCAAUCUAUAUCUGACGUUGAGGCACGAAAGCGUGGGGAGCGAACAGGAGUAGAUACCCGAGUAGGC
rnacentral:rRNA from 1 species